rfam:Spirochaetes bacterium GWF1_51_8 gwf1_scaffold_115, whole genome shotgun sequence.
CGGUUGAGAGAGCUGCAUAAGCGGUUCGUUGGAUAAAAUCCACUCAGCUG